UACGUAGGGUGCAAGCGUUGUCCGGAAGUAUUGGGCGUAAAGAGCUCGUAGGCGGUUCGUCACGUCGGCUGUGAAAUCCCGAGGCUCAACCUCGGGUCUGCAGUCGAUACGGGCGGACUGGAGUACUGCAGGGGAGACUGGAAUUCCUGGUGUAGCGGUGAAAUGCGCAGAUAUCAGGAGGAACACCGGUGGCGAAGGCGGGUCUCUGGGCAGUAACUGACGCUGAGGAGCGAAAGCGUGGGGAGCGAACAGG
rnacentral:rRNA from 1 species